UUGAAAUCUGGAUUUUUGCCACCACCAUUUAUGAUCCUUGUUGAUAUGGCUUCAUCAGGAUUGUAAGUAAGUGAAAAUUUGGCAUAAACAUCUUGGUUGUCAUAGAUACAAAUGUUGUGUAUGUUCCUAGCAUUGUGUACAUGAAUUUCAAGAAUUCCAGAGAAAUCAGAUUCUGAAUCUGUAUUUAUAUUUGGAUUGUAUAAAAAACUUGUGGAUGUUUGCUUGAGACAUGAAUUUCAAGAAUUCCAGAAAAUUCAGAUUCUGAAUCUGUACUUAUAUUUGGGUUGUAUAGAAAACUUGUUGGUGUUUGCUUGAAAGAGCCCAUAAAAGGAAAAUCAAGAAUCUAGUUCUUUCAAAUCAAGAAAUGGAAUAGGGGGUAGGUUGAUGUCUUGUGUGCUAGGUUGCUAUAGCUAGAACAAAAUGAAAGAUGAAAAAUACACAUUUGAUGUUGCUUUAUUUGGUCUUUUUUUUUUUUUGACAUGUUAGUGCAG
rnacentral:lncRNA from 1 species